GCCUCGGUAGUUUAAUGGCAGAACAAUUGCCUCCAAAACAAUUGGUGUGGGCUGUCACAGGUCAUCCAUGACCUGUGCCUUACAGGCAUCGCUAUCGCGAUGACCAAUUUUGUUCCAGACAAAAUUGUCGAUUCCUGCCCGGGGUGCCA
rnacentral:tRNA from 1 species